GACGAACGCUGGCGGCGUGCUUAACACAUGCAAGUCGAACGGUGAUCUUGGGAGCUUGCUCUUGGGUGAUCAGUGGCGAACGGGUGAGUAACACGUGAGUAACCUGCCCCUGACUCUGGAAUAACUUCGGGAAACCGAAGCUAAUACCGGAUACGACACAGAGCUGCAUGGCUACUGUGUGGAAAGUUUUUCGGUUGGGGAUGGACUCGCGGCCUAUCAGCUUGUUGGUGAGGUAAUGGCUCACCAAGGCGACGACGGGUAGCCGGCCUGAGAGGGCGAUCGGCCACACUGGGACUGAGACACGGCCCAGACUCCUACGGGAGGCAGCAGUGGGGAAUAUUGCACAAUGGGCGAAAGCCUGAUGCAGCGACGCCGCGUGAGGGAUGAAGGUCUUCGGAUUGUAAAGCUCUUUUGCCAGGGACGAUAAUGACGGUACCUGGAGAAUAAGCCCCGGCAAACUUCGUGCCAGCAGCCGCCGUAAAAC
rnacentral:rRNA from 1 species